AGAGUUAAAUAGUACGUGAAAUUGUUGAAAGGGAAACGAUUGAAGUCAGUCAUGCUGGUGGGAAUCAAUUUAGGGGAAACUCUGAAUGCACUUCUCCGCUCGGCAGGUCAGCGUCGAUUUUGGACGUCAUAAAAUGACUGGGGGAAGGUAGCUCCUUCGGGAGUGUUAUAGCCCUUGGUAGAUGUGAUGUCUGGGAUCGAGGAUUGCAACGGAUACCCUUCGGGGCUAGCCGCCUGAUCUCUAAUCGAUGUUGGGUUACGGACAGCACGCUGACCGUGAUCUGAUUAUUGGUUAAAAGGUCAGAACGUGCGUAAAUUCGUUAAGGAUGUUGACGUAAUGGCUUUAAACGACC
rnacentral:rRNA from 1 species